rnacentral:rRNA from 1 species
GGUUAAGCGACUAAGCGUACACGGUGGAUGCCUAGGCAAUCAGAGGCGAUGAAGGACGUGCUAAUCUGCGAUAAGCGUCGGUAAGGUGAUAUGAACCGUUACAACCGACGAUUUCCGAAUGGGGAAACCCAGUGCAAUUCGUUGCACUAUCGUUUGAUGAAUACAUAGUCAAACGAAGCGAACCGGGGGAACUGAAACAUCUCAGUACCCCGAGGAAAAGAAAUCAACCGAGAUUCCCCUAGUAGCGGCGAGCGAACGGGGAGCAGCCCAGAGUCUUAAUCAGCAUUAGCAUCAGGAGAACGGUCUGGAAAGUCCGGCAGUAAAGGGUGAUAGCCCCGUAUCCGAAGGUGUUAGUGUUGUGAACUCGACGAGUAGGGCGGGACACGUGUUAUCCUGUCUGAAUAUGGGGGGACCAUCCUCCAAGGCUAAAUACUCCUGAUUGACCGAUAGUGAACCAGUACCGUGAGGGAAAGGCGAAAAGAACCCCGGCGAGGGGAGUGAAAUAGAACCUGAAACCGUGUACGUACAAGCAGUGGGAGCCCCAUCACUCAAGUGCCUCGGCAAUUGAGUGAGGGUGUAAAACCAUCACAAUAACAGCGCAGGAUUUGCCAACAAGAUUGGCUGAUUUUUUCAAGCCGCAGCGCAGUGGACAUCGAAGUCCAUGAGCAGCGGAAGUUAAAAAAUCGGGCAAGAUUGGCCGCAAAGACAAGCGGGACAUUUGAGGAUGGGGUGACUGCGUACCUUUUGUAUAAUGGGUCAGCGACUUAUAUUCUGUAGCAAGGUUAACCGUAUAGGGGAGCCGUAGGGAAACCGAGUCUUAACUGGGCGAAUAAGUUGCAGGGUAUAGACCCGAAACCCGGUGAUCUAGCCAUGGGCAGGUUGAAGGUUGGGUAACACUAACUGGAGGACCGAACCGACUAAUGUUGAAAAAUUAGCGGAUGACUUGUGGCUGGGGGUGAAAGGCCAAUCAAACCGGGAGAUAGCUGGUUCUCCCCGAAAGCUAUUUAGGUAGCGCCUCGUGAACUCAUCUUCGGGGGUAGAGCACUGUUUCGACUAGGGGGUCAUCCCGACUUACCAACUCGAUGCAAACUACGAAUACCGAAGAAUGUUAUCACGGGAGACACACGGCGGGUGCUAACGUUCGUCGUGAAGAGGGAAACAACCCAGACCGCCAGCUAAGGUCCCAAAGUCAUAGUUAAGUGGGAAACGAAGUGGGAAGGCUCAGACAGCCAGGAUGUUGGCUUAGAAGCAGCCAUCAUUUAAAGAAAGCGUAAUAGCUCACUGGUCGAGUCGGCCUGCGCGGAAGAUGUAACGGGGCUAAACUAUGCACCGAAGCUGCGGCAGCGAUAUUUAGAUAUUGUUGGGUAGGGGAGCGUUCUGUAAGCCUGUGAAGGUGUACUGUGAGGUAUGCUGGAGGUAUCAGAAGUGCGAAUGCUGACAUAAGUAACGAUAAUGCGGGUGAAAAACCCGCACGCCGGAAGACCAAGGGUUCCUGUCCAACGUUAAUCGGGGCAGGGUGAGUCGACCCCUAAGGCGAGGCAGAAAUGCGUAGUCGAUGGGAAACGGGUUAAUAUUCCCGUACUGGUGAUAAUUGCGAUGGGGGGACGGAGAAGGCUAGGCUAUCCGGGCGACGGUUGUCCCGGUUUAAGAAUGUAGGCAGGUGAAUUAGGCAAAUCCGGUUCACUACAUGCUGAGGUUCGAUGACGAGUCACUACGGUGAUGAAGUAGCUCAUGCCCCGCUUCCAGGAAAAGCCUCUAAGCUCUAGAUUAUCAUUAAUCGUACCCCAAACCGACACAGGUGGUCAGGUAGAGAAUACUCAGGCGCUUGAGAGAACUCGGGUGAAGGAACUAGGCAAAAUGGUGCCGUAACUUCGGGAGAAGGCACGCUGGCGCUAGGUGAAGUCCCUCGCGGAUGGAGCUGAAGCCAGUCGCAGAUACCAGCUGGCUGCAACUGUUUAUUAAAAACACAGCACUGUGCAAACACGAAAGUGGACGUAUACGGUGUGACGCCUGCCCGGUGCUGGAAGGUUAAUUGAUGGGGUUAUCCGUAAGGAGAAGCUCUUGAUCGAAGCCCCAGUAAACGGCGGCCGUAACUAUAACGGUCCUAAGGUAGCGAAAUUCCUUGUCGGGUAAGUUCCGACCUGCACGAAUGGCGUAAUGAUGGCCAGGCUGUCUCCACCCGAGACUCAGUGAAAUUGAACUCGCUGUGAAGAUGCAGUGUACCCGCGGCAAGACGGAAAGACCCCGUGAACCUUUACUAUAGCUUGACACUGAACAUUGAGCCUUGAUGUGUAGGAUAGGUGGGAGGCUUCGAAGCGUGGACGCCAGUCUGCGUGGAGCCAACCUUGAAAUACCACCCUUUAAUGUUUGAUGUUCUAACGUUGCCCCAUUAUCUGGGGUGCGGACAGUGUCUGGUGGGUAGUUUGACUGGGGCGGUCUCCUCCCAAAGAGUAACGGAGGAGCACGAAGGUUGGCUAAGCAUGGUCGGACAUCAUGCGGUUAGUGCAAAGGCAUAAGCCAGCUUGACUGCGAGAGUGACGGCUCGAGCAGGUACGAAAGUAGGUCUUAGUGAUCCGGUGGUUCUGAAUGGAAGGGCCAUCGCUCAACGGAUAAAAGGUACUCCGGGGAUAACAGGCUGAUACCGCCCAAGAGUUCAUAUCGACGGCGGUGUUUGGCACCUCGAUGUCGGCUCAUCACAUCCUGGGGCUGAAGUAGGUCCCAAGGGUACGGCUGUUCGCCGUUUAAAGUGGUACGCGAGCUGGGUUUAGAACGUCGUGAGACAGUUCGGUCCCUAUCUGCCGUGGGCGUUGGAAGAUUGAAAGGGGCUGCUCCUAGUACGAGAGGACCGGAGUGGACGCACCACUGGUGUUCGGGUUGUCAUGCCAAUGGCAUUGCCCGGUAGCUAAGUGCGGAAGAGAUAACCGCUGAAAGCAUCUAAGCGGGAAACUUGCCUUGAGAUGAGUCUUCCCUGACCCUUUAAGGGUCCUAAAGGAACGUUUAAGACUAAGACGUUGAUAGGUUGGGUGUGUAAGCAUAGCGAUAUGUUGAGCUAACCAAUACUAAUGAACCGUGAGGCUUAACCUG